rnacentral:rRNA from 1 species
GACGAACGCUGGCGGCGUGCCUAACACAUGCAAGUCGAACGGAACUGUUUUGAAAGAUUUCUUCGGAAUGAAUUUGAUUUAGUUUAGUGGCGGACGGGUGAGUAACGCGUGAGUAACCUGCCUUCAAGAGGGAAAUAACUUUCUGAAAAAAAGGUUAAUCCCCCUUGAAAUUUCGGACCCCCAUGGUUUUGUUUUAAAAAAUUUUAUCGCUUGAAGAUGGACUCGCGUCCGAUUAGUUAGUUGGUGAGUUAACGGCUCACCAAGACCGCGAUCGGUAGCCGGACUGAGAGGUUGAACGGCCACAUUGGGACUGAGACACGGCCCAGACUCCUACGGGAGGCAGCAGUGGGGGAUAUUGCGCAAUGGGGGCAACCCUGACGCAGCAACGCCGCGUGAAGGAUGAAGGUUUUCGGAUUGUAAACUUCUUUUAUUAAGGACGAAAAAUGACGGUACUUAAUGAAUAAGCUCCGGCUAACUACGUG